UACGGGGGGGGGCAAGCGUUGUUCGGAAUUACUGGGCGUAAAGGGCUCGUAGGCGGCCAACUAAGUCGGACGUGAAAUCCCCAGGCUCAACCUGGGAACUGCGUCCGAUACUGGAUGGCUUGAAUCCGGGAGAGGGAUGCAGAAUUCCAGGUGUAGCGGUGAAAUGCGUAGAUAUCUGGAGGAAUACCGGUGGCGAAGGCGGCAUCCUGGACCGGCAUUGACGCUGAGGAGCGAAAGCUAGGGGAGCAAACGGG
rnacentral:rRNA from 1 species